rnacentral:rRNA from 1 species
UUCUGGUUGAUCCUGGCGGAGGCUACUGCUAUUGGGGUUCGAUUAAGCCAUGCAAGUUGAACGAUUCUUCGGAAUCGUGGCGAACGGCUCAGUAACACGUGGAUAACCUACCCUUAGGACCGGUAUAACCCUGGGAAACUGGGGACAAUCCCGGAUAGGUGAUUUUUUCUGUAAUGAUUUUUCAUUUAAAUGCUCCAGCGCCCUGAGAUGGGUCUGCGGCAGAAUANGUAGUUGGUAGGGUAAUGGGCUACA